UCCCUGGUGGCUCAGACGGUAAAGCGUCUGCCUACAAUGCGGGAGACCCUGGUUCAAUCCCUGGGUCGGGAA
rnacentral:tRNA from 1 species